rnacentral:rRNA from 1 species
UGGGGAAUAUUGCACAAUGGGCGCAAGCCUGAUGCAGCAACGCCGCGUGAACGAUGAAGGUCUUCGGAUCGUAAAGUUCUGUUGCAGGGGAAGAUAAUGAUGGUACCCUGUGAGGAAGCCCCGGCUAACUACGUGCCAGCAGCCGCGGUAAUACGUAGGGGGCUAGCGUUAUCCGGAUUUACUGGGCGUAAAGCGCGCGCAGGUGGUUUAGAAAGCAUGAUGUGAAAGCCCACGGCUCAACCGUGGAGGGUCAUUGGAAACUAAUAAACUUGAGUGCAGGAGAGAAAAGUGGAAUUCCUAGGGUAGCGGUGAAAUGCGUAGAGAUGAGGAGGAACACCGGUGGCGAAAGCGGCUUUUUGGACUGCAACUGACACUGAGGCGCGAAAGCGUGGGGAGCAAACAGG